CGAGGGGACGGAGCGAGAUGGGGGUGGGGAGCAUUGAACACUGGGCUGGGCUUCUGCAAGACCGAAGGGCAGAUAGAGGCCAUGUGAGUCUGCGCGGAUUGGGAAUGGGAGUCAGGAGUGGACUACAAGUCCCAGCAGGGUGUGCGGCCACGGCUCUCAGGCUUGGAUCGGGAUUGGAACAUAAGGCGGCGUUCAGAGAAAGAGAGAGUGCUGCACCCACUGGGCUUGCGGUUUCUGGGGGCGUUGUCUCGCUAUAGGAAGGAAUUGGGCGCGAAUGAUUUGGGAAUAAGGGAAAAUACUUCGCGACUUUCCAGACGGAAGGUGUAUUGGCUCUUAGAAUUUGAGGUUUCGCACUCGGGCACCUGCCCCGAGUCCUGCCCCUCCACCAGAGUUGUCAACACGGUUUACUUGGCCCGAGCUCCUGCGGGAUAGGUGCCGCUCUGUUCACCUUCGUCGAACGCCCCCCCACCACUGCUGCACACUUACUUGGCACUUCAUUCAUGUUGAAUGUAUCCUGCUUUCUCCCACCCCAUUUAGUGGUUUCAUUACAUAAAUGUCUCAACAAACU